CGGACCAGUGUGAGAGAAACAAAUGGUAUCAACAGCUUUUUUCCCUUCAGAUGGUGAUGAAUUCCCUGCACUCUGAUUAGGCCAGGCUGUUGUGACCGGUCACCGCUCUCAAGACAAUAGGUUCUAAUGGGUUUGCUAAAUGGCCAGAACCCGUCCUGUGGGAGAGAAGAAUCAUAUAACAAACAACUGCACAGAGGAGAACGAGUGAGGGAGUGGUUUUCUGCAAUAAGCGGCUGAAAUGGACGGGGAAUAGUUAAAGAGCCUGACCUGGCGGGGAACCAGAGGCAGUCAAAAUUAAACAGCUCACCUGAGGAUUACGUCCCCGGACCGGAGCUUCCUGAGCCAGUAGCCGCCAGGUCUGUACCGCUUUACCACUGGACAUUAAUUGUGACACUGAUUGAAGGUGAGUUGCAUCCACACCUGACGCCAGAUGGACAGAACCUCAGACUGACCAUCAGCAGAACUAACGAGAUGUGGAGGUCUGAAGAAACUGCUUCACAUGAUGCUCAUCACGUGAAUAAUUACAUGAACAUGGACCAGUUCUUCCCAGAUUGUGCUCGUCAGAGGAAGAGCGUGCUCCGUGCUUGGGGCCGCGCCUGAGGGGAGUCUCGUCAGUCACCCAGAACCUGGGCCACCUCCCGACAAGGUCGCAGAGGUGUCCCACCCCGAGAUUAAAGCGGCUCCAUUCAUCCAGUGAGGGCCCCCUCCAGGCAGCCAUUAUCAGAGCGGAUCGCUGUGCCAAAAAGCUCAAAUGGAUGCGUGGAGCACAGGCUGUGACCUUCCCACAGACCGCUGCCAUUUUCAAGCCUCUCAGUCUCACAGGAUGGCUCGCUGCUCGAAGUAUUGCUCCUUAUCGUUGGGAGUAAAAGGAACGUUUUACUUAUUUGUCUGGUCAUCGCUGUAGUGUUUUUUACACUUUUUUGUUUUUUACACUGUUUCCAGUGUUUGUGCUGGCGUUGGCUUCGGCGCAGGCAGGCAGUCUGGUUAAGGUCUCAGUCCAAAGAUCUCACACAAACACAGCUGUCAGAAUUGGCUCAUGUCCCUUAUUAGCGCCUGCUAGUGUGCACAUAUUUGCUUGUGUGGGUUCUGUCAGAACGCUGGGUCUCUGUGGGAGGGCAGACUGGCACCGGGACCUCCAAGCACUUAAGUUUUUUAUCCAUCCAUCAAUGAGGAUUUUUGUUUGUACCUUAAAAAAAGCAUCAAGUCUCUUCUGUGUGGACGAUGUUUGAGAUACAUGACCGUCACUUGCUGCCACUGAGGUUCCGGCUCUGCUUUCUGCUGUGAAUGUUCCCUGAAUGCAUCACCAGGGAGGCAGCUGAUUUGUAAUGAAGCCAUGCGGCAGUAUGUGACGGAUGAAUGUGAUGGUUCGACGUCGUCCGCCUUCUAUUUUCAGGAGCUGGGUCUGAAUGUGAUUGGAUGCUGGGCCGAGGAGUAGAGCGUCCAGCGUUCCACCGCUGAUUACGGUCAGUCAAUCAGCAGAUGGAGGAGUUCAGAUGAAGGCGGACUCAAGGAAUGCCGGGUGAACUGCUAUCUCGCAGCUUCUGAUUGCAGAACACACCUUAUCAAGGUAAUAGGCUAUUAGGGUGGGGAUAAUUAAAGG
ensembl:lncRNA